UACAGGGUACGCAACUGGCGAUAGGAGCCUGGCAUUCGCAAACUUCUGCGAGCCAACUCUGACGUGGAAAUGGGUGGGCUUGUUCCCUUCCUCAACCACUGGGGAGCGUGCACCUUGUACUGGUGUUUGGGUUCAAGGUUUCAGCCGUUCGCCUGGGCAGCCCAU
rnacentral:ncRNA from 10 species